rnacentral:rRNA from 1 species
UACGUAGGGGGCUAGCGUUGUCCGGAAUCAUUGGGCGUAAAGCGCGUGUAGGCGGUCCGGUAAGUCCGCUGUGAAAGUCGGGGGCUCAACCCUCGAAUGCCGGUGGAUACUGUCGGGCUAGAGUGCGGAAGAGGCGAGUGGAAUUCCUGGUGUAGCGGUGAAAUGCGCAGAUACCAGGAGGAACACCAAUUGCGAAGGCAGCUCGCUGGGACGUAACUGACGCUGAGACGCGAAAGCGUGGGGAGCAAACAGG